rnacentral:rRNA from 1 species
UGGCGGCGUGCUUAACACAUGCAAGUCGAACGAGAAUCUGUGGAUCGAGGAUUCGUCCAAGUGAAGCAGAGGACAGUGGCGGACGGGUGAGUGACGCGUGAGGAACCUGCCUUUCAGAGGGGGACAACAGUUGGAAACGACUGCUAAUACCGCAUGAUACGUAUUGGGGGCAUCCCUGAGACGUCAAAGAUUUAUCGCUGAAAGAUGGCCUCGCGUCUGAUUAGCUAGUUGGUGAGGUAACGGCCCACCAAGGCGACGAUCAGUAGCCGGACUGAGAGGUUGACCGGCCACAUUGGGACUGAGAUACGGCCCAGACUCCUACGGGAGGCAGCAGUGGGGAAUAUUGGGCAAUGGGCGCAAGCCUGACCCAGCAACGCCGCGUGAAGGAAGAAGGCUUUCGGGUUGUAAACUUCUUUUAAGAGGGAAGAGCAGAAGACUGUACCUCUAGAAUAAGCCACGGCUAACUACGUGCCAGCAGCCGCGGUAAUACGUAGGUGGCAAGCGUUGUCCGGAUUUACUGGGUGUAAAGGGCGUGUAGCCGGGAAUGCAAGUCAGAUGUGAAAUCCAUGGGCUUAACCCAUGAACUGCAUUUGAAACUGUAUUUCUUGAGUACUGGAGAGGCAAUCGGAAUUCCUAGUGUAGCGGUGAAAUGCGUAGAUAUUAGGAGGAACACCAGUGGCGAAGGCGGAUUGCUGGACAGCAACUGACGGUGAGGCGCGAAAGUGUGGGGAGCAAACAGGAUUAGAUACCCUGGUAGUCCACACUGUAAACGAUGAAUACUAGGUGUGCGGGGACUGACCCCCUGCGUGCCGCAGUUAACACAAUAAGUAUUCCACCUGGGGAGUACGAUCGCAAGGUUGAAACUCAAAUGAAUUGACGG